rnacentral:tRNA from 1 species
GAGGGUGUAGCUCAAGUGGUAGAGCACGUGCUUAGCAUGCACGAGGUUCUGGGUUCAACCCCCCGGACCUCCU